rnacentral:rRNA from 1 species
AACGAACGCUGGCGGCAGGCCUAACACAUGCAAGUCGAGCGGACCCUUCGGGGUUAGCUGCUGACGGGUGAGUAACGCCUGGGAAUAUGCCCUUCUCUACGGUAUCGUCCUGGGAAACUGGGGGUAAUACCGUAUACGCUCAUUGGGGGUAAGAUGUAUCGGGGAAGGAUUAGUCCGCGUUGGCUUAGGUUGUUGGUGUGGUAAUGGCCUAUCAAGCCGAAGAUCCAUAGCUGGUUGGAGAGGAUGAUCAGGCACACUGGGACUGGGAGACGGACCAGACUCCUACGGGAGGAAGGAGUGGGGAAUCAGAGACGAUGGGGGCGAGCAUGAUCUAGCCAGGUCGCGUGAGUGAGGAAGGACUUAGGAUCGUAAGGGACUGUCAGAUGGGAAGAUAAUGACGGUACCAGACGAAGAAGCCCCGGCUAACUACGUG